rnacentral:lncRNA from 1 species
CAAGUGCUGGCAAGGAUGUGGGGAAAAGGGUACACUUGUACAUUGCUGGUGGGACUGCAAAUUGGUGCAGCCAAUUUGGAAAGCAGUAUGGAGAUUUCUUGGAAAGCUGGGAAUGGAGCCACCAUUUGACCCAGCUAUUCCCCUUCUCGGUCUAUUCCCUAAAGACCUAAAAAGAGCAUGCUACAGGGACACUGCUACAUCGAUGUUCAUAGCAGCANUUUGGAGGCAAGAUCUCACUAAGUUGCUGAGGGCCCCAUUAUGUUGCUGAGGCUGACUUUGAACUUGAAAUCUUCCUGCCUCUGUUUCCCAAGCCACUAGAAUUACAGUUGUGGGCCACUACACCCAGCCCACAGUUUUUAUUUGGGAUGAUGAAAAGGUUUUAAAAAUAGAUAAUGGGAAUAUUUUUUCACAUCAUUGGAAAUAUAACUCUGUUAUAUACUUAAAGGUUUAAGUGGCAACUUUAGUUAUAUAAAUAUUUUAGUAUAAUCAAAAAGCAAGGGAGGCAGUGGAAAGCAGCAGACUGUACUAAGGAUCUUUGGCACUUUGAUCUUUUGUAUCCCUCCUAACUACUUAGUGGCACACAGGCCACUGAAAGCUCUUGGCUGUCACUGACACCAAGUAGCCUGGAAUCAAUCUAAAGGUUUUGAGUCAUCAUUUUGCCUCUGUGUUUCUGUGAAACUUGGCAAGUCCUUUAAUUCCUCAGAGCCUGGGUUCCCUUCAGUAGAAUGUGUAGGUGGGUCAGAUUGAUCUACCUCAUGAUUUUUAACCCAUUAGAGAGAAAAAGCGUUCAUUUGAAACAAGGAGGUAAGUUUGAAAAUGGUCAAAAUACUGGUUGCUUUUAUAUAUAUGUAUUUGCGGGGAGGGUGGUGGAAUUGGGGAUUGAACUCAGGGGCACACAACCACUCCACCACAUCCCCCGCCCUAUUUUAUAUUUUAUUUAGAGACAAGGUCUCACUGAGUUGCUUAGCACCUUGCUGUUGCUGAGCCUGGCUUUGAACUCACAGCCCUCCUGUCUCAGCCUCCAGAGCCUCUGGGAUUACGGGCAUUUGCCCCCGCACCCAGUUGGUUACUUAUAUUUUAAUGUGUCAUUAGUGGAAUAACUUAGGAGUUGGCAAACUGUGGCCGUAGGCCAAAUCAUUGUUUUAUAAUGAAGUUUUAUUGAUCACAGCCACAUCCAUUCAUUCGUACAUCACCUAUGGCUGCUUUCAUACUACAAUGGUGGUAGCCUAUCUGGACUGUACAUCCAAAAAUGUUAACUCUGGUCCAUUACAUAAAACGUAAUUUGCUGACCCCAGGAUUAGAUGAUUACAUUUAAUUGUGCUCUGAAAUGGCACACAGAGAGAAAGAAAAAGCUUCUACCACCUUUACUGAAACAGAGAAAAAAGACUCCCAUUGAUGAUUGUGUAAAAUGAAUUUUAAAACAACUCCAUAUCAUGUACAACCACAAGAAUGAGAUCGUAAUUAGAAUAAGUUA